CCAGAGAUGGCGGGCCCCCGCGCCCCCGUCCCCAACCCUUUGUUGACUAUACCACUUUUGCCUCGGGGGCAGAGCGGCCUCCGCCGCCCCCGGUGGACCACUUAACACUGUCUCUGUACGUCAGAGUCUUUGAUAAAUAAAUGA
rnacentral:misc_RNA from 1 species